rnacentral:piRNA from 1 species
UCCUGGCCCAGUGUGGAUAGAAACUUCCAGA